rnacentral:rRNA from 1 species
UUGCUCCUUUGACGUUAGCGGCGGACGGGUGAGUAACACGUGGGUAACCUACCUAUAAGACUGGGAUAACUUCGGGAAACCGGAGCUAAUACCGGAUAACAUUUGGAACCGCAUGGUUCUAAAGUGAAAGAUGGUUUUGCUAUCACUUAUAGAUGGACCCGCGCCGUAUUAGCUAGUUGGUAAGGUAACGGCUUACCAAGGCGACGAUACGUAGCCGACCUGAGAGGGUGAUCGGCCACACUGGAACUGAGACACGGUCCAGACUCCUACGGGAGGCAGCAGUAGGGAAUCUUCCGCAAUGGGCGAAAGCCUGACGGAGCAACGCCGCGUGAGUGAUGAAGGGUUUCGGCUCGUAAAACUCUGUUAUUAGGGAAGAACAAAUGUGUAAGUAACUGUGCACGUCUUGACGGUACCUAAUCAGAAAGCCACGGCUAACUACGUGCCAGCAGCCGCGGUAAUACGUAGGUGGCAAGCGUUAUCCGGAAUUAUUGGGCGUAAAGCGCGCGUAGGCGGUUUCUUAAGUCUGAUGUGAAAGCCCACGGCUCAACCGUGGAGGGUCAUUGGAAACUGGGAAACUUGAGUGCAGAAGAGGAAAGUGGAAUUCCAUGUGUAGCGGUGAAAUGCGCAGAGAUAUGGAGGAACACCAGUGGCGAAGGCGACUUUCUGGUCUGUAACUGACGCUGAUGUGCGAAAGCGUGGGGAUCAAACAGGAUUAGAUACCCUGGUAGUCCACGCCGUAAACGAUGAGUGCUAAGUGUUAGG